CGGGACGGGGUGGAGUAAUGUCUGGGAAACUGCCUGAUGGAGGGGGAUAACUACUGGAAACGGUAGCUAAUACCGCAUAACGUCGCAAGACCAAAGAGGGGACCUUCGGGCCUCUUGCCAUCGGAUGUGCCCAGAUGGGAUUAGCUAGUAGGUGGGGUAACGGCUCACCUAGGCGACGAUCCCUAGCUGGUCUGAGAGGAUGACCAGCCACACUGGAACUGAGACACGGUCCAG
rnacentral:rRNA from 1 species